CUACUGGGGUAUCUAAUCCUGUUUGAUCCCCACGCUUUCGUAUCUGAGCGUCAGUUCCCGUCCAGCCAGCCGCCUACGCCACUGGUGUUCCUCCGAAUAUCUGCGAAUUUCACCUCUACACUCGGAAUUCCGCUGGCCCCUCCGGGACUCUAGACCUGCAGUUUCAAAAGCCAUUCCAGGGUUGAGCCCUGGGAUUUCACUUCUGACUUGCAGGUCCGCCUGCAUACGCUUUACGCCCAGUGAUUCCGAACAACGCUCGCCCCAUUCGUAUUACCGCGGCUGCUGGCAC
rnacentral:rRNA from 1 species